rnacentral:rRNA from 1 species
AAGCCAGACUCCUACGGGAGGCAGCAGUGGGGGAUAUUGCACAAUGGGGGGAACCCUGAUGCAGCGACGCCGCGUGGGUGAAGGAGCGUUUCGGCGCGUAAAGCCCUAUCGGCAGGGAAGAAGGAGGACGGUACCUGACUAAGAAGCCCCGGCUAACUACGUGCCAGCAGCCGCGGUAAUACGUAGGGGGCAAGCGUUAUCCGGAUUUACUGGGUGUAAAGGGGGCGCAGACGGCAGCGCAAGCCAGGAGUGAAAGCCCGGGGCCCAACCCCGGGACUGCUCUUGGAACUGCGCGGCUGGAGUGCAGGAGGGGCAGGCGGAAUUCCUGGUGUAGCGGUGAAAUGCGUAGAUAUCAGGAGGAACACCGGUGGCGAAGGCGGCCUGCUGGACUGCGACUGACGUUGAGGCCCGAAGGCGUGGGGAGCAAACAGGAUUAGAUACCCGAGUA